rnacentral:rRNA from 1 species
GACGAACGCUGGCGGCGUGCUUAACACAUGCAAGUCGAACGGAAAGGCCCCUUCGGGGGUACUCGAGUGGCGAACAGGUGAGUAACACGUGAGUAACCUGCCCUUGACUUCGGGAUAACUUCAGGAAACUGGGGCUAAUACCGGAUAGGAAUCCUUGCUGCAUGGUGGGGGUUGGAAAGCUUCGGCGGUUUUGGAUGGACUCGCGGCUUAUCAGCUUGUUGGUGGGGUAGUGGCUUACCAAGGCUUUGACGGGUAGCCGGCCUGAGAGGGCGACCGGCCACAUUGGGACUGAGAUACGGCCCAGACUCCUACGGGAGGCAGCAGUGGGGAAUAUUGCACAAGGGGCGGAAGCCGGAUGCAGCAACGCCGCGUGCGGGAUGACGGCCUUCGGGUUGUAAACCGCUUUCAGCAGGGGCGAAGCUUGUGGUGACGGUACCUGCAGAAGAAGCACCGGCUAACUACGUG